ACGCACCUUGCGCUCCCUGGUAUUCCGGGGAGCACGCCUGUUCGAGUGUCGUG
rnacentral:rRNA from 1 species